rnacentral:rRNA from 1 species
AUUGAACGCUGGCGGCAUGCUUUACACAUGCAAGUCGAACGGAUCUAGGGGCUUGCUCCUAGGUUAGUGGCGAACGGGUGAGUAAUGCAUCGGAACGUACCGUGUAGUGGGGGAUAACCUGGCGAAAGUCAGGUUAAUACCGCAUACGAUCUACGGAUGAAAGCGGGGGACCUUCGGGCCUCGCGCUAUACGAGCGGCCGAUGUCGGAUUGGCUAGUUGGUGAGGAAAAGGCUCACCAAGGCGACGAUCCGGAGCGGGUCUGCGAGGAUGAUCCGCAACACGGGGGCGCAGACACGGCCCAGACGCCUACGGGAGGCAGCAGUGGGGAAUUUUGGACAAUGGACGCAAGUCUGAUCCAGCCAUGCCGCGUGAGUGAAGAAGGCCUUCGGGUUGUAAAGCUCUUUUGUCAGGGAGCAAAUCCUGCCUGCUAAUACUAGGAGGGGAUGAGAGUACCUGAAGAAUAAGCACCGGCUAACUACGUGCCAGCAGCCGCCGUAAUAC